CAGGUCUGAUGAUCUAACAGGUCUGAUGGAUCUAACAGGUCUGAUGAUCUAACAGGUCUGAUGGAUCUGACAGGUCUGAUGGAUCUAACAGGUCUGAUGGAUCUAACAGGUCUGACAAGUCUGAUGAUCUAACAGGUCUGAUGAUCUAACAGGUCUGAUGAUCUAACAGGUCUGAUGGAUCUAACAGGUCUGAUGAUCUAACAGGUCUGAUGGAUCUAACAGGUCUGAUGGAUCUAACAGGUCUGACAAGUCUGAUGAUCUAACAGGUCUGAUGGAUCUAACAGGUCUGACAAGUCUGAUGAUCUAACAGGUCUGAUGGAUCUAACAGGUCUGACAAGUCUGAUGAUCUAACAGGUCUGAUGGGUCUGCAUCAUUUCUUUCUGUUUGAUUGUUUGUAAAAACACCAAGUUUUUGCCCCUAAACUCCAAACCCAUCAUUUCCAGUCUGAACAGCUGGCUUAGUUGUCAGGGUGAGGUCAAAGGUCACCCCCCUGGGACAUGAACACGGGAUGCUUCAUUAACUGUAGAUCUAUAUUGAUUCCCAGUCCCCCGUUUGGAUCAAGCCAAGGAGCGACGCUGAGCAAGGAGAGCCGGUCCAUCACAGUGUUAGCAUGGAGCUGAUGAGUUUAAUGUUCAGCCAUGGUGUCUGCUCCACAUUCAGCUCACUCUGCCGCUGAAGGAGGACCAAUCUCUUUGUAUGGAUCUAUAUUCUGUAUUUUUACUAUUUAUGCUGCUCUUAUAAGCGUGUUUUUCUAAAGUUGUGUAUUCAGUCGUUUCUAUCAGCUCUAUAAAUGUCUUUAAAACAAUCA